UUGCUCGGUCCUUGGAGAGUGGGUUUCUACCUGUUUGGGUGUUUCACCCUUCCCGUCCCCUCCCUCUGCCUGCCGUGUGCCGGGGGGUGGUGGGAUUAGCAGGGUCGCUGUUCCUCAGCCUCUCCGGAGAAAACCCGGGGAAGGGGAGAGCUCCUUCACGCUCAUGGAUGCAUGGGGGGGCCCCACGCCCCGCUGGAGCCGUCGCCGCGGGGCCCGAUUGCUGCUGCUGCUGCUGACCGUGCGGCUGGGGAGCGGAGCUGAUAAAGCGGAUGAUGAAGAUGAUGAAGAUCUAAUGGUGAAUAAAACAUGGGUCCUUGCACCAAAGAUUCAUGGUGGAGAUGUAACUCACAUACUGGACUCCUUACUUCAAGGAUAUGACAAUAAGCUUCGGCCAGAUAUUGGGGUGAGAACUACGGUAAUUGAAACAGAUGUCUAUGUAAACAGCAUCGGCCCAGUUGACCCAAUCAAUAUGGAAUACACUAUAGAUAUAAUUUUUGCCCAGACUUGGUAUGACAGUCGUCUAAAAUUUAACAGCUCAAUGAAGGUGCUUAUGCUUAAUAGCAAUAUGGUUGGAAAAAUUUGGAUUCCAGACACUUUCUUCAGGAACUCAAGGAAAUCUGAUGCUCACUGGAUUACAACUCCAAAUCGUUUGCUUCGAAUCUGGAGUGAUGGAAGAGUAUUAUACACUCUAAGGCUGACAAUUAAUGCUGAAUGUUAUCUUCAGCUUCAUAAUUUUCCUAUGGAUGAACACUCCUGUCCUCUGGAGUUUUCAAGCUAUGGAUAUCCCAGAAAUGAAAUUGAAUACAAAUGGAAGAAAACCUCUGUGGAAGUGGCAGAUCCAAAAUACUGGAGAUUGUAUCAGUUUGCAUUUGUAGGGUUACGAAACACAACUGAAAUUUCUCAUACCUUGUCUGGUGAUUAUAUUAUUAUGACAAUCUUCUUUGAUCUCAGCAGACGUAUGGGAUAUUUUACUAUUCAGACAUACAUUCCUUGUAUACUCACAGUUGUUCUUUCAUGGGUGUCAUUUUGGAUCAAUAAAGAUGCAGUUCCUGCAAGGACUUCUCUGGGCAUCACAACGGUGCUGACCAUGACAACACUGAGUACAAUUGCCAGAAAGUCACUCCCAAAGGUUUCCUAUGUGACAGCAAUGGACCUUUUUGUCUCAGUUUGUUUCAUUUUUGUGUUUGCUGCCUUGAUGGAAUAUGGCACCUUGCAUUACUUUACCAGCAAUAGAAAAGGGGACAAAGGAAAACAAAAGAAGGCAAAAUCUAAGCCAUCAAAACCACCUGCAAUCGCUGUUCGACCUGGAUCAACGCUAAUUCCAAUUAAUAACAUUAAUCAUCUCCCUGAACGUGAUGAUGAUUAUGGAUAUGAGUGCCUUGAAGGAAAAGACUGUGCUAGCUUCUUUUGUUGUUUUGAAGACUGCCGCACAGGAUCUUGGCGAGAAGGAAGAAUACACAUCCGUAUUGCAAAAAUUGACUCCUAUUCUCGAAUAUUCUUUCCUACUGCCUUUGCAUUAUUCAAUCUUGUUUAUUGGAUUGGCUAUCUUUAUCUAUAAAUUUCAGAUUUGACAAACUCAGAAAAAAAUUCUAAUUGAAUAGUCAUUAAUACUUUUAACUGAGCAAUCAAAAAUUAGAGUUGGUCCAAAAUUACUUAAAUUGUAAUGCUUUAAAAAUUCGAAACAAUGAGAGGAAAUAUGAUGAUGUAGUCUCCCUCUUGUGAUCAACUAUAGAACUGAUGGUGGUAUUUUGAAGAGAAAAUUUAAAAAUAAGAUUUAUCUUUCCUUAACACACAUACACAGUUUUUUCCAGCUAUAAGAAAAUGCAGAGUCAAGAGGCUAUGUUAUUUAACUGGACAGUUCUACAUAAGCUUUCAGUUUUAAUCCUUAACGAUAAUGCAGAAGGAUUUUUGUAGCAUCUCUUACACCUUACAAAGAAAGCCUUAAUAAAGUGGGAUUAGUUAGUCUCAUCCGUUUCAUCCAUAAGGUGAUGAUUUUAUUAAUCCCUGAUUUUAAAAAGUUGAAAUGUAACAUUUCCCUUUUCAAUCUGCAGUAUUUUAAAAAGCAUGAUUAAGUCAUAAUUAAUCAAUUCAGAUUUAUACAGAAUGCAAAUGUUAGAGCAGCAAGAAAUGGAUAUAUCAAAACAUCCAGGGGUAAUUCUGAGCUUGUCUUAUCCUGACUGUUGAUAGAGGCUUUUGGCUUUCAGCCUUAGAUUACGUUUAUGUCUGUGCUUAAUCUCCUGUUACUUCACUGUUGUGAGUUCCCAGAAGUUGUGCAAGAGGGCUACAACUUUCAAAAAUUCUUACCCAGCUGCCAUUGCUUGCUGAUUUAAUGGAAAACAGACUGGUGUUGGCUGAGAUUCUGAGCAUUAAACACAGCACUCUUCACAUCCUCUCAUUUGUCUGAUUCAUACUCAGUGCCAGAGAAAAAUGCAUACCUCUACUUUUGGCAGAAUUUGUAUCAGCAGAGUUUGGAAAACCUGUAACAGCGUUGUAGUCACCGUACUCAAAGCCACUGUGUUAAAUCUCCAGUCUUGAGAGUGUAGUGUGUGAUCUGCUCCACUGUGCAUAUAGUAUGAUUCUGUUUGUUACUGCAGAUGCUGCUCACUGAGCCAAAGCCAAGUGGUAUUAAUUUACUGAGCCUGUGGUAUGGAUUGCUGGGUAAUUACCUUCUUGGUAUUAGUUUCUUUCUAAUGGAUAAGUCAUGUUAUGGAGAGGGAGUUAAAAUAUCCUUAUUCAUUGCAGAUCCUUCUCCAUUGAUGCAUCCCCCCAAAAAAUCAUAGGACCAGUUCUUCAUCCUUUCUGUGGUCAGAGCUUUUCAUCACUUUGGUAGCAAUUCUUCAGUAGUAGCCUUUCUGGACUGCCUUCUCUGUGUUGACUGUUGCUGACUGGCAGCAUUUGGUAUCUCAUUUCUAUUUCUAAAUCCAUUGUCUUCAUUAUGGAAAAGUGCAGUCUUUCCUCCAUUCUCGAAAAGGAACCAGUCUCAAGUGAGCUUGCAAAAAUCACUGUAAAAUGAAGAUAUACAUUAACUAAAAGUCAGCAUUACACCGAAGACCUUACAGAUCUUUAAAGAGGAUUAAUGGGAUUAGCAUUUGGCUGUAGGUAAGGAUGUUCAGUACUAAAGAUAAAGACAUGAUUAAUAGCUAAGAAUAGAUAAUGUUAUAUGAAAAGCCCACUCCCAAUAUUUCUGUUAAAUGUGCUCCCUCCUCUGAAUUUCUCAGAAAAGAUUAAUGUAUAUUUAUAUUCUAGUUUGUACCAGGCAUAAUAAGAUAUGAUAUGCAAUAUGCAUUUCAGAGGAAAUGCUACUGUGGUGUUCAACCCCAAAGUGUAAUAGAAAAUGCAAGACUGUGCAGUCAUACUGAAAAGAAGAGUGAAAGAAGAUCCAAUUUUAAUGAAAACUUUAUUUCAGUAUUUAGCUGAUGAAAUAUAGGAGUGGUUGAGAGAAUCUGAAAGCCCACUCUCAAGGAUGGCUGACAUUGUUUGUUGUGUGACCUUUCUGAGUACCAACUUCUGACUGGUAGACUAAGCAUAGCAAUGUGGCAUGAUUAUCAGCUCUGAUUUGCUAUAAUUUAUUGGUUUUUAGAGUCUCACUUUCAGAAAAUGUUCAGUCCAAUGGAAAUAUGUCAGUUUUAAUUCCAUAAUGUAAUUUGAUGCUUUUUGACAGCACAUUAAACACAUUCUUCUGUAGGAGGUAUGAAGGUGGCGUCAGCAGCACGUUGGAUGUGUACUUGAAAAGUAGUCAGCUUGCUAUACAAUACAAGAUAUAGAUUUUGUGAGCCCCUGAGUUUCAUUAAUUCACCUUUAAACAAAAGAAACUUGAAAGAACUUGGCACUUCACAAGAGGAAAUACAAAUUUCACAGCCUGCUCUUCUCUGGCACAUCUAGUUAGCUUUUUCUAUUCAUGUGGUUGUCAGUUGCCAGUCAGCCUCCAGUGACUGAAUUGGAGAACAGAAAACAUCCAGAAUUGGCAAGGGAUGGAUAAGAAGCCUUUCAUCUCUAAUUUCUAUGAAACAAUGUAAUGGAGUAUUAAACCUAUUGAAUGUUAUGGCUGUUUGGCUUAUGGAUACACUUGCUUCUGUCUGUUGACAAACUUUUCUGUGUACUUCAUUUGUUUCUGAUGAAAUAAUUUUAGUUUCCCAUAGUACUGCGAGUGCAAAUAGAAACGGAAUGUAGUGAACUGUAACAUGGCAUGUAAUAAAUGUGUUAUUUUAGUCCUAUGUGUUUUCUUUCUAAUCUGCAUGUAAGCACUUGAUUCCCAGAAAUCUAAGUAAUACUCAAAAAAAUGGCAAGGAACAGACAGUAUAAUUACUUGGACCUAGAUGCUGCAAUCAUUUUUCAAACUUACGCAGAUAAAAGUUUGUUUACUGUUAGCUGGGAUCAUAGUAUUUUGGAGUCAUAUUAUUCUGACCAUCAUUGCAUAAGCACAUGCUUAAACCUAGUCCUAGUCAGUACUGUUAUUAGACCAGAAUUCAGAAAAGUGAGUGCUUAUGUACUGUCAUAAAUAGUGAUGCUAUCGUGAAUUGAGGCCAUUAACACAUGCUUAAUUUGCACUAAUUUCAAUAAUGAGUGUUCAGUAGCUUAAAUAAUUGAACACUAAGGAUGUGAACCAGAGCCUUUUUCAGUAAGAGAUUUUCUCACUGAAAGAGGGGGACUUAAGAGGAGAAAUUGCCAUAAAGGUAGAGAGGCGAAAAAUUCUGGGGAAACUGUUUUAUACUGCACCUAUCUUAGGCAUUUCUUGAAAUGUAUUUUUCAAAAAAGAGAUUUUUCCUUGAUAUUUCUGUAUUAGUGUUUACCACUUGUCUGUUUAAGUAGUGAGUACAGAUCAGCGUGUUAUUUUUUGGUAAGGUUCUGUCUAUGAUUGUACCUCACUGAUCUUCAGUGCAUGUCUUUUGUGUCUGAAUGAAUCUUUUUAUGUAGUGGCAGUGCAACCAAAGCAUGAGCUCUGGGUAACGCAUUUUAUAUUCACAUGUUGAUAUGCUUCAAAGACUUUAACCUUAUCCAGUUUUCUGACAUUCAGAGAUAUGGGAUUGUGUAAGACUUUGAAGGAGAAUCACCUCCAACAUGGUUUUUAUAAUUUUCUGUUGUUUAUCUGGUAUGAUAGUAAAAACAGUUGUUUAAAAUUGAUAUAUGAAAUGUGCUUUGUAAUUUGUGAACACCUUUAACCUUACAAAUGAAAACCCAACAGGAGGAGUCUGGAUUUAAAUAUCUAUUUGCCUAAAGUAAAACAUGUUUUCUCAAUUGUAUUGGUCAUCAUUUCAGUUUACUGUUUCCAAAUAGCUGAGAACUAGGGCAAAUAAAUUUUUUAAAAAAUUGAUUGUUAAUGUAAUUAUUUUUAAAAAAUUGAUCGUAGUUUCAGUUAUACAUUAGAUAUGAUCUUUUAUGUUUGUGAACCAAUACUGUAUUUUUUAGUCAUUAUAAUAGAUACAGAAAAUAGAAACUAAUGUAGAAUUCCUCAGCUGAAAAACAAAAAACCAGGAAUUAGAAAUAAUUACUGUGCUUUCAUUCCUGAAAAAGCUCAGUGAUGUCCACAUGCCCCAAUGAAUUUGCUGACAGGGGGGAGAGACUGACUUAGACAGAGAGGUAGAAUAGUCUCCAGGCUGUAGAAAAGGCCUUUGCAUUGGUUCAUGCCGUGGAUUUGCUACCCAAGUGGUUCAAACUGAGGAAAGUGAUCUUUGGCUUCUGAUUCAUUUCUAUCAGAAACAGUAGUUCUAAUGCUGUGUUACCAGAUGAAUCAAAACCUGAAAAAUCAUCUUAGUAAGUUAGUGUUUCAGCCAGAUUGGUGGGAUCAUCUGACUGAAGCUGCAAGACUAUGACGAAAUUUUGCUCCAAGACAGGUGAUGGGAGCUUGCAGCUAGAGGCAAAAGGAUGUCUUCUUAUGAUAGGCAUAUUUCAUUCAGCUGAAAAUCUGCUCUGAAAACUGGUGAGGAAGAAAGGAAAAGAUGGGAUAAGGUAAAGAUUGAUGGUGGCAGUGAUCCCAGAAUCAAGUUGCAUGGAACUGAGCGAGUUAUAUUUAGUUAAUAGAUUUCUCAGUAGAAUUUGUGAUAAUGCUCUUGAUUUCACUGCAACAUAAUUAAGUACUUUUAAUAUUAAAAAAAAGAAGAAAAUACUGUGCAUUUCCUAUACAUUAAUUACAGACUGAAUGAGCAAUAAAAAGUUGUCUUGAGUGAUCAUAAUGUCAGACAGAAAAACAGAGAUCAGGUUAGAUCAGCAAAAGAUCAUCUUUUUUCCUCCUUUUUUUAUUAAUGAUAAACUAUUUUUAAAAUUAAGGAGUACUAAUUCUCGGAAAGGCCUAGUGCCCAGGUGUCUACACUGCUGUAAGUCCCUUUGAGGGCUAAAAAAAUUUGGGAAUGGAAACUUGUCUCAGACUGCUUUCAGUCAUUGAAUCAGAGAGUGGGUAAGGUGGAUUAUGAUCAUGCCAGGCAUGAACUAGGAUAGCUGGUGUACCCCAGGGAGAUUGGUAACAGUUUCUGGUUAAAAGGGUGAUUUCUGCCUGAGAGACUAUAAUCUUCCCUUCAGAAGAUGGAUCUGUGCUGUUAUUUCCAGAAUGAUGGAAAAGCAUCCCUGUCCUUAAUGUUUGUCUUUGCACAGGCACAGAUUCAUUGAGAUGAUUGUCCUGCUAUGAAACUCUGAGGUAUUCCCCAUGUAGAGUAUAGGAGAAGAGUUUUGGUUGCACUCCUGGGCAAGGUCUCUAAAUCGUGUCAUAAGGCUCAGUAUUGUGGUUCUUGAGCUGCCUUUUGGAUCUGUUACAAUGCUAGUGAAAAGUCAGUAAAUAAUAAACUUUCGAUUUUACUUACUGGUAAAUCUCAGUGGGAAAGCCAGAGAACUAACAAAGGCUUUAGAGGAAAUCUUAGGAGACAAGAGAGUGGCUAAAAGUGAUAUAGCCCUUUUUACCACAGAUGGGUCUUGUUCACUAGCAAUAUAUUGUUUCUAAAAAAACUGUAAAAGCUUCAUGGUAUUUUAAGGGGGAAAAAGAUAUGUAAAAUUCUCAUUCCCCUUCCCACUGACAAAACGUGCUUUGCCUGCAGAUUUUGCUUAUGGUACAUCAACAUCACUUGAGCUGUGUAAGGAGAGCUACGGGGAUGUAAGAUGACCUGUAAACUGUUCUACCUUGUUCUUUCUCAGUUCCUUUUCUUAGUCAAGAAAAAAGAGGUUCAGAAGAGUAGGCGUGUGGCAUGUGUAAAUGAGGACAAUUUUGCUACUGACAACAGAGGCUGAGUCCCACUAUCUGACAGAAUUGAGAGGGAUGAAACUCUGCUUGCAGUAAUAAGGCUUCUCUUUUGUAAUUCUUUGUAGAAGCUACUUUUCCAUACAUCGCUGCAUGCCUACCUGAGACUCAAAAAUGUUUCAGGUUGGAAGCAAUUCUUUUAUGUGUUUCUGGCUUCACAGAAUGAUCUUUACCAUAAGGGUUUGAGCCUUGCUGAAUUCAAAAAGAAAGGUUUCUUCUUGAAGUUUCCUUGUCCAGGCAUUGCAGGUAGGAGAUGUCUUGCUGCCAAACAUUGGAAAAGUGAUUUUCAGUUGAUCCUGCUGAAAAGGCGCUGUAGGGUGGCAUUGGGAUUCCUUCGUCAUUUAGACUUCAGAAGGUUAAAUUCUGUUAACAGCAAUGACCAGUACUGCCUGAACAGAAGAUAAAUUACUUUUGCCAAUUAAAUAUUUCUAAACAAACCCCAAAACUGUCACUGUGGGUAGGAAAUGAGGAUGAGUCAUUAUUUCACUUCAAGUGUAUAUUUCCCCUUGAAUUGUUUUUCCUUCUUAGGAAGAUGGCAUAUAGGAGUCUUUUGACUUGUGAAAUACAUAGAAAAUAGAUGAUGGUAAUUUUAAACAGGCAAAGUCAUGUUAGUCCCUCUGCCUCCUGAUGACAUAGGAGCAGUAACAACGAAGGCACUUGCCCUAGGGCUCAGAUUUUCCAAGGCAGAUAAAUGUGGACAUUUGUAUAUUCAUAGACCCAGUAUUAGUAUAUGAUCUAUGUUCAUGCUUUAACUGGCCAUUAUAUUUAUAAUGAUUUUUGCAUCUUCACAGUAUCCUUUAUAUUUCUCACUCUUGUCCACUGUGAAUGCUUAGACUUUUUGUCUGAACAUGAAAGGUUACGUCAUUUUACCUUUAGAUACAGUUUCAGUUGCUACAGAAUAUAAAUACUUCCUUAAAUGAAAAUGAGGAAUCAGAAUCUGGCAACCUCAUGGUGAUUCUUAUACUGAAAAAUCUAAUAUUUAUUUUUAAUUACCAUUUCAAUUAAACAAAUAAUGCUGCUAUAGUUUGCAUUCCCCUUCAUUGACAUUUUAUAAACAAUUAAAAUUCAUGGUCUAAACCCAGAAUUUAGAGAAAUAUCCUUCAAAAAUAACACUCGUUGAUUUGUUAUGUCUCUCUGUGUUUAUUAUAUUGAAUUUCCAGUAUUCAAAUACACUCCUAAUGCAAAUCUCUAUCUUGGCAUCUACAGGUACACACAGUGUUUCAGUGACUCAGACUUUGCCCCUUACUAGUACUUUUUUUUUUUUCAUUCAGUAUUUAAAAAAAUGCUGGUAUUUUUAACUGCCUAAGUGAACAUUCAUGCAAUGCAUUUAAUUUGAUAGUGUUUUGGCACCAGUGGACAAUGUUGCAAGAUUAUGCAUCAGUGUUCCUUUUGAAGUUAUUUAUUAAUGCCCUUGUGGAUAACUUACUGCAAGAAAUACAGAACAUUAAGAUAAGCCUUGUAACUCUCUGUGCAGCUUCUAAGGUUUAUAUAUAAAAUACAUGAUAUUGAUGCAAAUUUAUUCUUCCAUUUCAGUUUUCCUUCCAGAAACCUCCUCAAUUGGGCUAAUAUUAUUAUUAUAAGUGUGCUGAUAUUUACAGUUCUGCUCAGUUUUUUGGUACUUUUCCAAUAGCCUUGGAAUGUAGCCAUCCAUUAUUAUAUUCAAUUACCUAGAAACAGUGAGGUAUCCUCACAGGAUUUUAAUGUGAUUAAGCCAUGGCUUCUUCAACCUCUCCUAAAAUACAGUCUUUUGUGUGCAGUACCAAAACUAAAGCGUUUUUAGGUAUCAAAUUGAUUGUUACCUGCUUCUCAGUUUUGACAGUAUCUGUGUGCUUGGUUAGAGUGAAACACUGAUAUCAACAUUUUUAUAUUUGACAACAAUAUUAAUAAGUAUGGCUGAACCAGAAGACUUCAGAGGUGAUAAACAGAUGAUGUUCUUGGCUAAAUCCUAUAUAUAUAAGACUUUGUGAGUGUGAUAGAAAUUAUAAUGGCAAUGACAAUGACAUACGUAUAUAUAUCCAUAUGUAGACUGGAAAGCAAGAUAUGAAAACUUUUAUAUAUACAUCAGCUUCUGAUUGUCAUUUUAACAAGCUUCCACCCCCCGUAAAAAUUGUGUUCUAAAUGUGACCACAAUGGUCCUAAGAAAACCAUUUAAAUUUGCACAGUAAGAAUGUAGAAGUGAUUCAGAAGCCUGAAAUAAUUAUGGUUCCAUUUGAUGGGUCUUGUAGAUUCAUUUUUAAUUUAACUCCUUUUUACUGAGGAAGAAAGAAUACAAAUGCUGUGGUUGAGAUAGACAUGGUUAUCACUAAAGGUAAGUAAAAAUAUCCUCAGUUGAUUUAUAUAUAUAUAUAUACACCUAUAUAUUGGUAGAAGCAAAUUUCUUUAGUGCUGAGGAAGUUGCUGUGAUUGCAUUUGCAGAGUAGAUGGAUUCUGCUUUAUAUUUUCAGAACUCUGUUGGUACCAUGGUAAAAGAUUGACUCAGAGUUUAACAUUUCUUAGUAUACUCUUAGUUUUUGGAUGCCUCAUUUUCUUUUGUACAGUUUAAGACAUGAAUGAAAAAGACCUACUUUUCAAAUGUUUAACCCUUUCUAAAAAUUAUCCCUUGAGCUUUCAGUUUAGAGUACUCCAAAACUGAUUAACUACGCAUCACUGAUAAGGUUUUAAAUAAACUAGAUUGCUUAAGAAUAGUGCAGAAAGUUCAAAUAUGGUUCAAGGCUAGAAAUUCGUAGCCUUUUGUGGGAUUUUUCAAUUUAUUUUCUUAAGUUUCUUGAGAGCUGGGGAGAUAAAAAACAAAUGGAGGGAUUUCACCCUGUAGUUUUGUUUUAUUUUGUUUUCAGCAGUAUAACUCAUGUAGAAUAGUCCAUCAGCUGCUAAAAGGUGAUUUUAGUAGAGGUAAAAUGAGGCUUUGAGACUGAUAACAGAAAUAAUAUUAAGAGAGUCAGAAAGGAAGUGUUCGUGGCACUCAUUAUCAGAAGGGGCUUGGUUGCACAAGGCUUUGGAAACAGAAUUUCUGAAGUAAGAUUAUGGGAGAGAGCCGGAUUAUAAGGAUUUCUAGAAAAAAACCAAAAUUUCAGAAAUCUCUUGCCAGGAGAAGACUCAUAGUGGUUUGAUGGAUAGGUUUUAGAGUUCAUUACUCUAAUGUGAAUGUUGAUGUCUAUUGAAUUUUCAUGUAAAUGUUGCACUAGUCCUUGUGCGUUGAAUGGAAAUGGGCUUGCACCCUGGUGCAUGGUUCAUACAGAUGUUUCUGAGAUGUAAUCUGUAAUCUUCUAAAUGUAAAAAUCUGAAAGCCAUAGUCUUAAAAAAUAAAAAUAAAUUAAAAACUCAUCAUGUGUUCUGUGCAAAACGAACAGUUUAGAUGUUUGUGCUCUGAUGUCUCUUAAACUGAUAAGAAUCAAGAGAGUUUCAACACUGAACUUUGUAAAGCAGUUGUAAUGCAUUGUUUUUACUGUAUCUGCUGUGAAGUUGAUUAGUUACACUGAAAAAAUAAAUAGUGCCUGGUUACUUA